AGAGUUUGAUCCUGGCUCAGAAUGAACGCUGGCGGGUAAAAAAACGAAUGCCAGUCUAGCGAGAAAGCCCUUUCGGGGGUUUUUAUAACGGCGGACGAGUGAGUAAUAUGCGAGAACCUACCCUUUAGUGAAGAAUACCCUUGAGAAAUUGAGGUUAAUACUGCAUGAGUCCCUGCGGGGAGAAAGGCAACUUUAUGUUGUCGCUGAAGGAUGGGCUUGCACGCUAUCAGCUAGUUGGUGAGGUAACGGCUCACCAAGGCUAUGACGGCUAACCGGCCUGAGAGGGUGUACGGUCACGUUGGAACUGAGAUACGGUCCAAACUCCUACGGGAGGCAGCAGUGAGGAAUAUUGCACAAUGGGCGAAAGCCUGAUGCAGCUACUCUUUUUUGGAGGAUGAAGGUCUUCGGAUUGUAAAACUCCUGUCAAAUGGGACCACAGAUCUGUCCAUAAUAUGGAUGGAGGAUGACGGUACCAUUAGAGGAAGCACCGGCUAACUUCGUGCCAGCAGCCGCGGUAAUACGAGGGGUGCAACGUUAUUUGGAAUUACUGGGCGUAAAGGGUGU
rnacentral:rRNA from 1 species